UGUCUGCUGGAUGGAGUCACUGAGUCUCAAGGUAGAAGAAAACUCCUACACACAAUGUUGUAUUGCCAACCAAGCCCCAGCCCCACGAGCUCGAGGCUGCUUUGAAUGUAUCAGAGCAGUCGAUCGUCCUGGUUGAAUAAAUCCUUGAUUUCAUAUCUAGCUCUGGUGAAUGGCUCUGCCUGUUGCACAAACAAGUCACAAGCAGAAUAUUGGAUCUCAGGGCCACAUACUUCCUUUUGAGGUGCUCCCGUGUCUCCAUCCCAUUGCACCUGCAAACAGAAGAAAGGAAAGUAGGCAGUGCCCCGUCCAUAGCAGUGUGCUCCUUCUGAAAGGAAAGGUCAGUUGUGUUGGUGUGCACUUUGGGAAGAGACAAGCACCUGGGGAAGUAAUUAUGGAGAUGAGGUAAUUUUUUAAAUUUCAUUUUUUCUUUGCUAUCUUUUCAGGAAAGAACACUCUGUCUCGUAAAGUGCUGCUCUGCUGGUGGUUCUCCAGCAAACUUGGCUGCUUUGGACAACUUCUGAGACACUGGAUCACUUGAUAUCUUUCAGGCUGUUACAUAAAUCUACAACGUUCACUUAGAUACUGGAACAAAAUCUUCCAACAAAGAAGAAGUGGGCUGUCAGCAGCCAAACUCCUCCCAUGAGGCUUUGUGAAAGCCACAUUUCCUGCCAGUCUCUGCAACCAGAGGGCUGAAAACUGAUUCAGUUUAUUAAAGAUGGAAAUAUAUGGGUGAUCUCCUCAGGUAGGAACACGCAGUUCUGAUUGCUGGUUCUCUAAUAAAAGUGUAAAAUCCUGCUAUUUGCAGCAGAAUUGCUCUGUUUUCCUUGCUCAUUUUGAGCCUGUGUGCAGCGUGUGCUGUCUGUAUGUUGUCCCCCAGCACGUGGUGAGGCUCCAGACUGUGUCCACAACGGCAGGUGUCCCCCUGGAAGAGGGGGAAAAGAGAGACUAGAGAAAUGCUAAUUAUUUUGCCUGUCCCUGGAAAUCAUGUGGAAGCUGGUGCCUUUUGAAAAGCUUUGCUGUAAACUCUGCUUUAGUGACAGAUGUAUCUCCUCAUUGAAAAAUCCUCUUGAUCUGCUGCCCUGCUAGACAGCCACACUUCCAACAAUAACAGAGAUCCAUGUUGUGCAGCAUGUUUUUCCUCAUGUAAUGUUGGGGGAGAGGAGAGAACCAAAGAAGCUGAGUCGUUUAUCUUCUUUGCUUGUCUUGGUAAUGAAAUAUUGCUGUUGAACUUUGCCCUGCCUUUCCUGUUACUUUUUUUUUUUUUUUUUUUUUUUUUUUUUUUUUGCAAUGGUUGCCAUUUAAGAGGUUCACAAAAUUGCAUUAGUAAAAUUUAUGACUGUGCAGCAAAUAUGUGCAUAUGCAUUAAUUCUGUUCAAGGCCAAUAUCUUGUAGCUGCAAAAUUAAUGUUAUGGUGCAGUUUCUAAGUAUGGCUAAUGGCUGUUCAAUAAAGCAGGGCUCGUGUUUUCCUCACCUUACAGCUCUUAAUUCCUUGAAACAGUCCUGCCUUGAAGAGUUUGCCAGGUAAAAGUUAAAAAAAGGUACAUGCACAACACACAAAUAUGUAUUUUUUAUACAUUUUUGGUUAUGCAAUUAACCCUUGAAAUUUUUGGCCCUGUGAGUUGGUUCAGUUGGGUUUCUGCUCCUUUGCAUGGCUUUUAGUUCCAGGUUUCAAAAGCAGAUGUCUAUGAAUGCAGUGCAUUAAAAAUGGGCCUUUUAGCCAUGAUUCUGAUCUGGAGAGACUGAACUGGAUGUUAGUGUUAUCCUGAGAGUUACACCUCAUGCUGUUUUGGAGUCAGUGAACAAUAACUGCUCAGUAAACGAUAAAUUAAUUGGCAUUACUUACAUUUAAACGUUCAUUUUCCUACUAUGUAAAAAAGCCACUUUCUGAUAGAAGGAUGAAUUAGUAUUUGUAGUCUUUUUACCAGUUUAAAGGUAGUUACUAAUCUGGUAUUCAAGGUUGAAGACAUAACAAAAGACAAAUGACCGAUGAUGAGGGCUUGCUCAUGUGAUAGUUGGAGAAAAGAGGUUGGAGAAAUAUUUUCAGGAUGCUGAGAUAGGAAUUUAGACAGUAUCUGACAGCACCUGUUUACUUCUUCAAAGCUUUGUCUGACAGCCAGAAGAAAGCUCCAUGCUUGUGAUCUGGAGCGAUUGCCUGGUGUUUGGGAUGUGAUAUGUGCAAGAUCACUGCUGCUAGAGGUAAAAAGCUGAUCCCUUGGGACUCAAAAGUAUGAAGUGCUGAGGAGCUGAGGUGGACUGGAGCUCCGGGGCCGCCAAAUGUCUGGGUAUGUCCAAGUCAGGCUAUGCACGAGCCCACUGGUCCCAAAAGUGGCUCCAACCACAACAGACCCUGGGCUCAUGUCCGACGAUCGCUUGGCAAAGGGAUCAGUGGCAGCAGCCUGCAAAGCUCUGAUGGAGGACACAAAUAUCCAUUUACCAUUGUGGGGGAGGGCUGGGGGGCAGUGACACUUUUUUUUCUCUGCCAAAAGCAAGGCAUCUGUGGGGUGGAAAAAGCAGCGCAGUGGGAAAGCUAAUUUCAUGUGAAAGCUCUCAAGGCAGUACCGUAUGUCUUCCAUGUUUUGGGACUAGUUGCUUGAUCUCUGUGGGCUUUGGUUUCAUGCCAGUUACUCACUGUGUCUCUCUCCAGGCAUUUUCUUGGAAUAGAGCUUGUCCCUUGCUGUGGGGUCAUGAGAUGCCCAGGAAGAGAGGGGCCAAACAGGGGCUGAGAAAUCUUACAAGCACCACCUUGAUGCUUAUGAUGGUGUUGCCACUAUCAUAGAUAGUUACAGCCAGAUCAGUCAUCAGAUUUGUAACUCUGGUGGUAAUCAGUGAUACGACACCAGGGAGGUGUUUGGCUCAGCUUGUCAAAGUGUUUUGGUAUUGUGAGAAUGAUGAAUGUCACUGGGAAAGCUUUUUGGGGAAGAUAACAUGAGAGAGAAAAGCAGGGGAAGUGUGAUGCCCUGCUGGGAGCAUGGGGAGCGUGGGGAGAGUGGGAUUAGUGCUGCAGAAGAUGGGCAGACAGCGAGCAUCUGCUCUGGGCUACCAGGAUCAGAGCACAGCAGGACUGAGAAAUUCUUGGACCAGUUAUCAAGGAAUUGGGAAACUCCAGAAUACUGUACUCAUGGGGGAUUUUUAUUACCCAGACAUCUGCUGGGUAACAAAUGCAGCUAAUCACAGUGAUAAUGUACAACCCUAAUUCACUAUAAAUUCUCUCCCAUAUGUUUACAAUUGUAUUUACAGUAGGAAGUGAGGGACAGUUAUUCAUGAAUCAAGGUGAAAUGAGUUGCUGGGGCAGAGUCAGCCAUGUAUUAUGGAAAAUAAUGUGUGACAGACCUGAACAGAAUCCUUCUGAAAGCAUGGCUGUAUUUCAGGUGUUUUAAGUAAAAAAAAAAAAAAAAAAAAAAAAGUUCCUGUAAUUACUGGUUGCUUUUAAAUGUGCCAAUUGAGCUACUCAUUUCUCCAUAACCUUUGCUGACUUCGAAGAACAAGUUUACAAGUGGAGUUGAUGAAGAUUUAUCCUCCAGAUGAAAUACACCUCUUCAAAUCCAAUUCUGCUGAUGACGAGGUGGAAAAGGGUUAAGAAAAAAAUAAGAAAGGAACCAUGAUAAUGGCUGCUUAGCUCAUCGGUAGCACAUGAAAGGAUGUUGUUUUAUUGAUAUACUUCUAUGGCCUUUCGCCUGUUGCAGGCAAUAAUUUUGCCCUCUAACUCACCACGGACCCAGAAGAGCACUGUGAGCUCAAAUACACCUGAUAUUGAGGGGGGCAGGAGGUGGCUCAGCUGCCGGAGUUCAGGGCUGAGCACAGGUAGUUACUGAUGAAUUGCGGUGCCUUUUCCUGCCGUUCAGCAAUCCCUGCUCCCUGGCUGUGCUUGCCCCCGCGCUGCCUCCUCGGCGCCGUGGGUUUAUUUUGGUAAGGAUGUGUAAGCCGAGCUCUGGCUUCGGCCACUCAGAGCCCGGGGAUUUGCAUAAUGGCAUUACUGCUUAUUCCUCAAUUACAGUCUUUGAAUAUGCAAAUCUGCUGAUGCUGGUUACUGUAAUCCUCCUGCCCUGGCAGGUCCCCAGCUGGGGAAGUUUUUGAGCCAUUUAUUGGCAAUGAGAGUUUUCCUCGUGGGUUUCUUAUUUCCAGCUGUGGGUAAAGGGGAAAAGUCCUCAAUCAGCUACCUGAAAUAGAGGAGAACGAAAUUCAGAAAAAGGAAAGACCAUUUUAAAAAAGAGCUUGGAUGCUUUUUCCCCCGUCAUCUUCCUUGCAGGAGCUCAUGUUCAUGCUGGUGAGAUGGGAUGGAUCAGCUUGCUCUGUCCUACACACCACAGCAGGGUUUGUCCUUGCAGCAACUUUCCCUGUUCCUCUCUGCCCUGGCUGCUGCCCACCUGAAAUUUGGGUUCAAAGCAAAAGAGAUGAGAGAACAAGCAGUGGUUUUGAAGGUUGCCUGUCCACUUGCUGCUCUUGGUGGCCUCCUGGCUCUGGAGGGGUUAGGUCACUGUAAAGCAGGAGAGCAGUUCAGCAGAGGACUUGCAGCCUUGGGUGGAGAGAUGGGAAACCUCAACUCAGAGCAGCUGAGCACCUGCCCCAGCUUAGACAAAAGAAAGUUUGCUGAAUUGCAGUGUUUUGCUGUCUGCUGAGUUGUAUAAGCAUGUCGAGAGCUGCAGCUCUUUUUAUUAAAGCAUGACUUGAGUAACCUUUCCCAUUUCUACUCCCAAUAUUUUCUAGUAGUAUUUUCAGCUGUAUUUAUUUUUCCCCCUGUGUCUUUACAAAUAAAGGGGGAGAGUUUUUUCAAAAUUUUAUUCUCAAGUAAGAGAGAGUCCAAACUGCUUUAUUUUCUGGAAGAAGUAGAUUAUUACAGGAAAAUCAACACCUUUUCAAUGGCAAACCUGGCAAAACUUCCCAGGUUUUCUGAAGAGGCAGCACCUCACCCACCAGUCCCUGCAGUUUAACCUCACUCAGUGCCAUGGGGGCCAGCACUCAGCUGGCAGAGACUGUCCUCGGAUUCAGCUGCUGGGCAUCAUCCUUUCCUUACAGCUUCAGCCCCCUCUGCUCAACACCCUGUGCUCCCAGGGCAUUCACCAUAGCUCGUGUUCUUCUUCCCUAGCCAUGGACCAGGUAGCUCCAUCUGCAGACACAGCAUUUGUUGAGGAAAUCAGCUCCUUUGCAUCUGACUUAAUGGCUGUGCUGUGAGAAUGUUGCUGUCACACAACUCAAAAUGUCCCGGGAGUGGGGUAUCUGGACAGAUCUGAGAGGAACACUUCUCCCUGUGUAUGGGAACAUGUCCCACGCCAUUGUGUGUUAAUGGAUAUGAUUUAUUUCAGAAAAAAAACCC